rnacentral:misc_RNA from 1 species
GAUAUUGCCAGGUAUUGCAAGCUUUCAUUUGCUGUGCUUGCUACUGAUGGAAUGUGGGGAUUUUGUACCUGUAUAUUUGGUUUGUUGUUGGUAGUUAGUCUUUCAAUCUAUAAUUCCAUGGUAAAGAUGUAUCAUUUUGGCUUUACUAAUUAUACCGGUAAAUCUUAUGUCACAUUCAAAUUGGAACAUUAGAGCAGGGACAGAUAUAUAAUAGGGGUAAUGGAGGCACUUGCCUCCAGGCCCCUUAAAAAUUCUGCUAAUUGUGGAAUUAUAAUUUCAAAAUUGCCCCCACUUUAUGUUUUAAAAUUGCCCCAUUAUAUUCUCUUAAUAAUUAAGUUGAUAAAAGUCAAACAUUUUCGUUUCUAGGAUACAACUUUUUUCUUUUUCAAGGCACUACUCUCUUCUUUUUCAAGACAAUGCUUUCUUCUUUUUCUCUCACUUUGGUUCCACUUUUUUCAACUCUUCCCACCUUUUUUAGCUCUUUCCUUCCUCUUUUCACGUUGAAACUUGAAAC